rnacentral:tRNA from 1 species
GGGGCCGUGGCCUGGGGGGCCGGUUUUUCGGGGGCCGGUACGCGAUCGAGGUGGAUAUUGACCCGCCGGUUCUUCGCCCGGUUGGCCGGA